rnacentral:rRNA from 1 species
GACGAACGCUGGCGGCGUGCUUAACACAUGCAAGUCGAACGGAAAGGCCCUGCUUUUGUGGGGUGCUCGAGUGGCGAACGGGUGAGUAACACGUGAGUAACCUGCCCUUGACUUUGGGAUAACUUCAGGAAACUGGGGCUAAUACCGGAUAGGAGCUCCUGCUGCAUGGUGGGGGUUGGAAAGUUUCGGCGGUUGGGGAUGGACUCGCGGCUUAUCAGCUUGUUGGUGGGGUAGUGGCUUACCAAGGCUUUGACGGGUAGGCGGCCUGAGAGGGUGACCGGCCACAUUGGGACUGCGAUACGGCCCAGACUCCUACGGGAGGCAGCAGUGGGGAAUAUUGCACAAUGGGCGGGAGCCUGAUGCAGCAACGCCGCGUGCGGGAUGACGGCCUUCGGGUUGUAAACCGCUUUCGCCUGUGACGAAGCGUGAGUGACGGUAAUGGGUAAAGAAGCACCGGCUAACUACGUG